rnacentral:rRNA from 1 species
UCGGGUUGUAAAGCACUUUUGUCCGGAAAGAAAACCUCCGUCCUAAUACGGUGGGGGGAUGACGGUACCGGAAGAAUAAGCACCGGCUAACUACGUGCCAGCAGCGCGGUAAUCGUAGGGUGCGAGCGUUAAUCGGAAUUACUGGGCGUAAAGCGUGCGCAGGCGGUUCGCUAAGACCGAUGUGAAAUCCCCGGGCUUAACCUGGGAACUGCAUUGGUGACUGGCGGGCUAGAGUAUGGCAGAGGGGGGUAGAAUUCCACGUGUAGCAGUGAAAUGCGUAGAGAUGUGGAGGAAUACCGAUGGCGAAGGCAGCCCCCUGGGCCAAUACUGACGCUCAUGCACGAAAGCGUGGGGAGCAAACAGGAUUAGAUACCCUGGUAGUCCACGCCCUAAACGAUGUCAACUAGUUGUCGGGUCUUCAUUGACUUGGUAACGAAGCUAACGCGUGAAGUUGACCGCCUGGGGAGUACGGUCGCAAGAUUAAAACUCAAAGGAAUUGACGGGGACCCGCACAAGCGGUGGAUGAUGUGGAUUAAUUCGAUGCAACGCGAAAAACCUUACCUACCCUUGACAUGUACGGAACCCUGCCG